rnacentral:rRNA from 2 species
CCGGGUUGCGGACAGUGUCUGGUGGGUAGUUUGACUGGGGCGGUCUCCUCCUAAAGAGUAACGGAGGAGCACGAAGGUUAGCUAAUCCUGGUCGGACAUCAGGAGGUUAGUGCAAAGGCAUAAGCUAGCUUGACUGCGAGAGUGACGGCUCGAGCAGGUGCGAAAGCAGGUCUUAGUGAUCCGGUGGUUCUGAAUGGAAGGGCCAUCGCUCAACGGAUAAAAGGUACUCCGGGGAUAACAGGCUGAUACCGCCCAAGAGUUCAUAUCGACGGCGGUGUUUGGCACCUCGAUGUCGGCUCAUCACAUCCUGGGGCUGAAGUAGGUCCCAAGGGUAUGGCUGUUCGCCAUUUAAAGUGGUACGCGAGCUGGGUUUAGAACGUCGUGAGACAGUUCGGUCCCUAUCUGCCGUGGGCGCUGGAGAAUUGAGGGGGGCUGCUCCUAGUACGAGAGGACCGGAGUGGACGCAUCACUGGUGUUCGGGUUGUCAUGCCAAUGGCAUUGCCCGGUAGCUAAAUGCGGAAGAGAUAAGUGCUGAAAGCAUCUAAGCACGAAACUUGCCCCGAGAUGAGUUCUCCCUGAGACUUAAAGUCUCCUGAAGGAACGUUAAAGACGAUGACGUUGAUAGGUCGGGUGUGUAAGUGUAGCGAUACAUUGAGCUAACCGAUACUAAUGAACCGUGAGGCUUAACCUU